GCGGCAACAGCUCAAAUUUGAAAUCUGGUUCCCGCAAGGGGCCCGAGUUGUAAUUUGGAGAAGAUGCUUCGGGCGUGAUGCCGGUCUAAGUUCCUUGGAACAGGACGUCACAGAGGGUGAGAAUCCCGUACGUGACCGCGUGUCUACGCCUAUGUGAAGCUCUUUCGACGAGUCGAGUUGUUUGGGAAUGCAGCUCUAAAUGGGUGGUAAAUUCCAUCUAAAGCUAAAUACCGGCCAGAGACCGAUAGCGCACAAGUAGAGUGAUCGAAAGAUGAAAAGCACUUUGGAAAGAGAGUUAAACAGUACGUGAAAUUGUUGAAAGGGAAGCGCUUGCAACCAGACUUGCGCGCGGCCGAUCAUCCGGGGUUCUCCCCGGUGCACUCGACCGCGUUCAGGCCAGCAUCGGUUUCGGUGGUCGGAUAAAGGUCGCGGGAAUGUAGCUUCUCUCGGGGAGUGUUAUAGCCCGUGGCGACAUGCGACCCACCGGGACCGAGGACCGCGCUUCGGCUAGGAUGCUGGCGUAAUGGUUGUAAGCGGCCCGUCUUGAAACACGGACCAAGGAGUCUAAUAUUUAUGCGAGUAUAUGGGUGCUAAACCCACAUGCGUAAUGAAAGUGAACGGAGGUGAGAACCCGUACGGGCGCAUCAUCGACCGAUCCUGAUGUCUUCGGAUGGAUUUGAGUAAGAGCAUAGCCAUUAGGACCCGAAAGAGUGUGAACUUUACGUGAAUAGGUAAGGCCCCAUGGAAUAAUUAAUGAUGGUAGCGAUGCUAACGAUUAAACAGGGUGAAGCCAGAGGAAACUCUGGUGGAGGCUCGCAGCGGUUCUGACGUGCAAAUCGAUCGUCAAAUUUGCGUAAAGGGGCGAAAGACUAAUCGAACAUUCUAGUAGGUUGCCACCUAAGAUCUUAGG
rnacentral:rRNA from 1 species